rnacentral:lncRNA from 1 species
GUUUAUUCCAAGAGCAACUAUGUGUUGUAGGUUCAUUGGUUCAUUACUCGAGGCUUUGAUCAACACAGUGUACACUAGUGGAACCUGCUGGUCAAAAUAAUUUAGAGCAGCCAAAUUAGUAUAGUCCCACAACGUAGACUUGUGUCUUCUACCAAACCAAUGGUCCAUCACAGUGCACAUGUCAUAAUACCCAUAAAACUUAGUGGUAAACCCCAAUAACGGUUCCAAUCAUUUUUUUACCCAUUUAUCUAUUUACUGUUGAGUGUCACAGUAUGAAUAAUAAAACCCGGAAAUGGUUCCAAUUGUUCCAUCUGGGAUUUUAGAACUACUUACAUUUUAGUCAUUUAGCAGAUGCUCUUAUCCAGAGCGACUUACAGUAGUGAAUGCAUACAUUUCAUACAUUUUUUAUUUUUUUUCUGUGCUGGCCCCCCGUGGGAAUCGAACCCACAACCCUGGCAUUGCAAACACCAUGCUCUACCAACUGAGCUACAGGGAAGGCUACUUCAUAUAAGGUCUGUGUUUCAUGUAGGAUUACCCUGGCAUGACGUUUUGAUAACCAUGUAGUUCUCUUUCGGACAUGGUUUUCUCAGCAUGUGACUUGUUUCAGGAAACUAGGCGUAUGUUAUGCGUCACUACUUCACAGGAGAGAAAUUUGAACGUAAACAUAUUUUUUUUAUCAAAAUGCAGAAAGGCUUUCUGGAACAUGUGAACGUUCAUGUGCCUUAAAAACAAGUGUCUCUUCCAUCUGUAAAUACAAGUACAAUUGUUAAAUGACAAUCCUAGUGUCACGCUCUGACCUAGGAGAGCUGUUCACACCCUGACCUAACCAAAUAGAGAAUAAAACAGACUCUCUAAGGUCAGGGCAUGACAUGCUGACUACAAAUUAUCUAUAACUUGGCUAAUAACUCACUAACUAGCAAAGGAUAUUAACAAUUGUUCAAACGUGGCUACAUGGAUCUAUCGCUUUGAUCUUAAACAAGCGCAUCUACUCACGACCGAUCAUGCUGUAAACACAGUCCAGUUCAAAGUAAAUGGUACAGAUCCAUAUACUGUAUGGCAAUGGUCUAUUUGCAUAUAGGCCUACUGCAGCUCUGAUUGGUUAUGCCGUUGUCACGUCCUGGCCAGUAUAAGGGUUAAUUGUCAUUGUAGUUUGGUCAGGACGUGGCAGAGGGUAUUUGUUUUAUGUGGUUCGGGGUGGUGUUUUGGUAAAAGGGUGUUUGAUUUAGUAUUUCCGGGUUUUUGGUUUAUGGUCUAUGUUUAUAUAUUUCUAUGUGGAGUCUAGUGAGUGUGUUUCUAUGGUUGAUUAAUUGGGGUUGGGACUCUCAAUUGAAGGCAGGUGUUUUCUCUUUGCCUUUGAUUGAGAGUCCCAUAUAUUAGGGUGUGUUUGUCAUUUGUGGGAGAUUGUUCUGUGUUUAGCCUUGUGCCUUGCCAGACUGUUUUGUUGAUCGUUCGUUCUUUUGUUAUUUUGGUGUUCAUUUUUGGAAUUUAUUAAAACGUCAAGAUGAGCAUACACAUACCUGCUGCGUUUUGGUCUCAUCACUACGACAACCGUGACAGCCGUGCCGGAAUGUAUAUAGUAUGG